rnacentral:lncRNA from 1 species
UUGCCAAGCUUUCCAAAAAGUCUUGGAUCACUAUUUUUGGUGGUCUGAAGAUUAAGUUAUGGAUGUUUGAAGUCUGAAGACUGAAUCUGUCCAAUUCUGGACAGCAAAGCCUUCUAGUGUAUUUUAUCCUUAGUUAACUAUUGAGUCACCUUAAGAUGUUUAUAAGUGAUAUGUAGACAAUUUUAUUACCUUUCCAGAAAGUCUAGGAUCACCUUGUUUGGAUGCCUGAAUCUUCAGUUAUGAAUUUUUAAAGUCAUAAGUCUGAAUCUGUCCAAAUCUGGACAGCACUGUUGUGUUAACACCUUUUGACCUUGCUAAGUGUUUAAUCAUGCUGUGAUGACAAUACCAAAGUUGUAAAGCACUUUUCAAGCUUUCUAGAAAGUCCUAGUUUACUAUUUUUGAGUAAAUAUCUUGUGAGUUAUGACUGAAACAAUUGACUGCUGUAUUGCUGUCCAAAAAUUCUGCUAGUGCGCUUUUGAUUGUUUAGUUUCCCCCUUGUCGCUAAAAAUGUGUGGUUUGCUCUUAAGUAAUGUAGACUUGCCAUGGUUAAGCUUAAUAAUGAAUGUGUGUACUGUUUUAUAUGUUUCCUUCUCUAGUUGUUUGUGAUAUAGGAGUUCCGUAGUUAGUGAUGCCUAUGUCGUAUUCAAGCUUACGUUGUCUUGGUUGGACUUGUGUGGUUGGUAAUGCUUUUGUGUGAUCAAUAGAAGAACUAAGGAAAAGCCGUAGCAAUUAAAUAAAUGCUUGUACGUGUGAUGUCGUGUUACGUUGGUUAAGUGUAGGUAGUGAUCGUCGUCUUUCCAGUGGUAGUGUUUACAUGUGCCCAACGACAUAUAAAUAACUAGUGUUUGCGUAUAGUUGUUGCAGUGUCUUACUAACUAAUGUUUAGUUCGCCACUGUGUCUUGGUAUACCUUGUGCUAUUUUUGUGCUACUUUCAUUAUAUUCAUACAUAUGCAUCUUGCACCUCAUAUAGGACCGAGAGAUGAUGAUCGAGCUAGUGAUGUGGUGCCAACCACAAGAUGCCGUGGUGGACGACCUGAAGAAUGGACUUAACCACUGGAUGCUCGCCAAGCGAGUACCUCCCCCAGCAAACACUACCUAAGUGUUAAAAAGGCAAGCCCCGGUUUUAUGCAUAACCGUUUAUAUAUGCUAUUUUACUACACUUAAUGUUUGUAGGUUUGUACUGUGCACUUAAGUGUAGGAGUUGCCUGAAACCCUAGUUGCAUGAACUUAGGAUUCCUUUGAGAUGGAUACUAGUAUGCUAGGUCGAGUAGCUGCUUUGCUAAUUAGGGAUCUCGGUAGAAGUCGAGUGAUUUUUCUAGCACUCGCGCGAGGUCAGGACAUUGAUUGUACCCACGUUCAUAUCAUAUUGAUGAUUGGUCUGUGGACACGGGUCCAUGGGGACGCGUGGUCUACGAGAUGAAAAUUGGAAUAAGGAUUAACGUGCGGAUACCUGUGUCAAGCGUUUGAACGUACUAAACAUAUGCCGAGAAAUAUGGUAAAUCGGUAAGCCUAGUACCUGAGUGAACCUGGCAGUGGACAUAUCCCCUCACGCGACCUGAGACGAGGUCUCCCAUUCCGGUUAUGGUGGGUACAAGUGCGGUCACUGCACGACGGCCAGUCGGGGUCAGUGAGGCAUUGUACGCCAAGGCGGUGAGCCCUGAUCUGCUGACGGGGAAUCGAUGGGGACGGUUGAUGUGUGUGGGGACGGAGUGCCCCUACAUGUCGUGUGUUUAGGUUUACCUUGCAAGGAUGAAAACUCGAUUCGAAUCGUCUGCUUCUCGCAGCUAAUGAGACUGCUUGAUCCAUUGUACUGCAUUGAGUAAUAAGUGGAAAUGAGGUGACUGGCAAAAAGAUGUUGAUUGGUAAAAAUGUUUGAUACCAUGUAUGAGUAGCUAGGUACUCACCUAGUAUAAAAAGGAGCAUACUAAAACUUGAAAAGCUAAAACUUGAUUUUAGACUCAGCUAGUGCUUUUGGCAAACCAAACCCCUCCGCCAAACAGCUGCAUGUCUAGAGGUAGAGGAGUAGACUCCUCACACCGGGUAAGUCUAGCUGAGUAUUAGUAUACUCAGCCUUGCUUGUGGCACAAUUUUUGCAGGUACUCCUUAGGAUGAUUGGUUGAUGGUGUGACUUGGCCUCCAUCCCUGCCACCGGGAUAGAUGGUCGAGUGGGUUACUGCUUCCGCAGGAGAGGACCAGGAGGAGUAGCGUGGCCAGGCUUCGCCAUGUUACUCGGUUUUCUCCGUUAGUUAUUUCCGCUGCAUUAAAAUUUAUGGUUAUUAUUUCUGAAACUCCGAUAAUGUAAUCACUAAUUAUACUUAUUAAAUUUGUGGUAUUAUGUUUUAUUGUAUUUCUCUGUGCCUCACCUUCGAGUGAGCUAGUGGUAUUCGAUCCUGGUAAGUGGCUUUAUCGGACUAGAUCCGAGGGACUGACGGGUUAUUCCUGUUUAAGUGCGUUGCUGCCCUUAAGGGUGCGACUUGGGCACUUAAGCUGGAAUAAUUCGGGCGGUUCCGCCACAGCUGGUAUCGGAGCGAAUACCAUUACAGAGAAGUCAAUAAGUCAUAAUUACCAACUUUUCAAAACUAAAACUUGCUUAGAAACCAAUGUUGGAUAGAUCGUCAGGACGAUAAGGAUAGACCUAGGACGUGAAGCCUUAGGAGAUAGAUGGGUAGCUAGGUGGCUAUUUAUAUAGGCCAUAAAGGCUACUACUACUAUUAAUAAGGAUGUUGUAGAAGCAUCCGAAAAAUUAGUUAGGUCUGAGAAGACGACUAGAAUGAGCAUGCAUCAUGAUUGUCGCAUAAUUGUUUCUUGUGCAUCAACAUGCUUCUCUCACCUUUAUUCCAAUAAUAAGAACUUGUGAAUAAUGUGAUGUGCUGCUAUGUUAGAAAUGUCUUACCUCGUGUCAGAUUGGUAAGUCUUGUUAGGUUGUGUUAUGUGUCUCUCUUGCCGUGCUAUCUAGGUGGUAUUCUGAAUGUUCAACCCUUUUUACAAAAAAAAACAUGUUGUCUGUUCUGCUCAUGAAAAGAUUUCCCCCUCCAAACAACCUUGAGUUUAGCAAGUGAAACCUUUGUUAGAAAAAAAUCAAAUCACGUGCUUGUUUAGGUGUUUACGCUUGAAAUUGCACCUGCACAACUUAUAGACACCCAUAGCUUGACCGCUAGAUCAACCCAAGUCUCCUUCUGCACAUGUUACAAAAAAUGUUGUUUGGUGUCUAGUUGCGCAAACCCUAUCAAGGCCAUGUUUCUUUCCAUAAACCCUUGCCCCUAAAACUUCAUAACAUUCCUGUUGAUCAUCCAGCUGAUCUUGUUGCCUACCUCUCCUUUCACCUGGAUCUGGUAAUCCUUUUUCUUAUGAAUCAUGUUGGCUUUAUCAUCCGAAUCUCGGGAUCCCCUAUUGAUUCUGCCCCGUUAUCUGGUUAUCUGCUAUAACCCGUUCUCAAGUAUCAGAUGUUGAUCUUGCCUAAAUCUCUCAUUUCUGAUCAUUCUCAUACCCCCUUCUCUGAGGAUUAUGACGCUGUUUUAUCGAUUUUAUCUCUAAGCAGUGGAUCCAUUUGGUUCAAUGGAUUAUGUUAUUGACUUUAAUUCUCUCAUGUCUCUAAAAGCUCAUCAAUCUUGAUCUCAUGGUCGGUUCAUCCUCAUAUCAAAUCUCAUGCAAAUCUCUGAUCUGAUAAUCUCCAUGUUGAUCAUAAAAUAAUUCUCUGAGUUGAAGAAAAUUCUCAUGUGAUGCUCUUUUGCCAACAAUCUCUACUUCAACUCCGGUCACAUUCUUAUUUUCUGAGCCAUACUCUCAUGGGCUCCAUCUAUCUGUGUUGUGUGAAUUUUUUUUUUCAUUGGUUACGUUUGGUAAUGAUGUCAUGACUAACGACCGAUGGUGCCGCGACGAGACCGAGAGCCUACUAUGGUGCACACAUGGUUGAGCUUUUCGGCACGCGCUGGUAUCGCGGUUAAUAGUCGUGAUCCAUUAUGGGACUAUACCGAUGUGCUCUCUUUUGUGAACAUCCUCUCAAAGUGAUCGCUGCAUUUUGUCUCAACAUGCCGCGAUAUUCUACCCAAAUCUAUCUUCAGUUUUUUUUGUCAAAUCCCAUCUCAUAAAUUUGCAUCUAUCUCCAGCCUGGACGUUACAUGCUUCUCCACCCUUGAAGAUCCUCAUUCGAAUCUCGGGACGAGAUUCUUUUUAAGGGGGGAAGGCUGUGACACCCCAGGUGUCAGUUUCGUGUUACGUCGCGAGAUUUAUCCUAAUCUCGGAUGCUCAGUGAAAAUUUCUAUUUCUCGCUCGCGUAUGUCUCUGAUUAUCCAGAUUAUUUAUCCACAUUUCACCAAGUUUGGAAUUAUUCAAUCUCAAGAACAGCCAAAUUUGGAGCUGUUAAAACUUUUAUUCUCGGCGCGAAUGUAAUCUCAAUAUUCAAUCUCGAUUUAUAAAUCUUGUCUAAAGCUCAUUAAAUCAAACCCUCGACGACUGUUAUCUGAUCUGAGCCCGAAUCUAAUUCCUCGAACUUCGAACGAUGUUCGACUAUUUUAAUCCGAAUCCGUACUCUCAAAAGAAAUACUCAGUAUGUCGUCCUCUGAUCAAAUCUUACUCGACUCAGCUUAGCAUCUCUGUAUCCAAUCCGAUUUCAAAAUCAACAUCGGCAACGAUUUUUUAAAUAUCACAAUUCGCUUUCUCCGACUAAAAAUCCAAAAUCGAUCAAAUCUCAGGACGGUUUAUUUUCGAAUCACGCGUAGGGAAUUAUUUUCGAGUGAAAUCUAAUUAGACUCUCGGCCGAAUUAAUUGCUCAAUCGUCCGUUCGCCGAAAUCUAUUUCGCUUUGUUCUGUGUACAGACAAAUUCCGCGGGAACAUUUUAUUCCGGAAAAUGUUUAGCGCAGCCCGAUAACGUGUUUGGGCCAGCCCAACCCAGCCCAUUUGGCCCAUUUAAAACCCUAACCCUAGUGCCCCUUCUAUAAAUAGCACCUCUCUCCCUUGCAAAUUGGCAAUUUUUCACUCCCACCCUCCAUUUCUUCCCAGCCGCCACAGCCUUCUUCCUCCUCUCCCCCACACGCACAGCUCUCUCCUUCCCUGUACAUGGCGCAGAAAAAUCUCCAGCCAUGGCGUGAGCACCAUUCCCAUGGUCGAGCUCACCUCCCUGCCGCGAGUUUGCCAGCACCCCCCACGCGGAUCUCCAUUUCCCCUAGCUGUCGCUCGCCGCAGAGUUCUCUGCUGGCUUCCUCCUCGUCGCGCGCAGGGCACCUUUGGCGUUCGCCCCUGCGAGCUCCCUCUGCUUCACAGCCUAGCCAUGGUGGCCACCGAGCUCCCCGCUCCCAUCUCCUCUGCCCGGCGCCCUCCCUAUUCCUAUUCCACGCAGGGCAGCCGGCUCCCCUUCCUUCUUUCCCCCUUCUCCCCCAUGGCCGAGCCCCCUCUGUUGCCGACCGAGCUUCAGCUCUAGCUCCGGCCAGCGGCCAUGGCGCGACGCCCUCGCUAUCUCCUCCACCAUGCAGUGUCCGGCCACCACUUCAUCACCAGCGCAGGAUCCUCUAGCCCAACCCCUCGCGGCGGAUGCGCAGCCGUCCUCCUCCUGCUCUUCGACCAACAGCAGCCAGCGACCCCCAUGUCCAGGAACUCGACGCCAGCUUUCUUCCUGUGUCCAAGGCCGCAGGGGAGCAGUAGCUCUUCCUCCCUAGCUUCCAUUUCCCCUGCAAGUGACCCUCUGCUCGGCUCCCUCUUCCCAGCAGCAAGCUCCGGAUUUCUGUACGCCGACAUGGGGCUGCGCAGUCCCGACCCAAGGCGCCGCGUGGGUGUUGGACAGCCCCACGCUACGUCGUCGAUCUGCGCGGUCUGACUGUCUCCGCGUCUCGCUUCGCCGAAUCUGCGCAGCGCCGACGUGCCAUCGUGGGAACCCGUGGUGAGACCCCGUUGUCCUGCCCUUUUUGUGUUCGAUUAAAAGGCCGCACCAAUAAAUCACAUAAUAAAUUGUGUAAUGAUUGUGUAUUUCGUUUGAUCGCAGCCCUUGUCGACGUCACGCCUUGCGCAUCGCUCGUCGGCAAAGAGCCCAAACUAAUGGCAUGCAUGCGUGGCACGAGUCGGCCAGGUUGUUCGCCUUGUAUGAUUGCGAUUUAUUUUACUUACGUAUUCGGUCGAUGAUGUGCCUGCAUGUUUAUAUGUGUGUAAAAUGUUUCGGUUAUGCGCAUUGGUAGAAUCGCGUUUGCGAUUGGAGAACAAGAGGUUAUUUGAGGUAUGCGAUUUGUAGUUGUCUAAUUAUGUUUUGGUCGAUGUGGUGCAUGUUUAAAAAUUGUAUUGGUAUGGAUUAAAGUUCGCGGCGAAAGAAAAUGAAGUAGAGAAGAACUCAGGUAUUUUUAUUUUGAUCGGAAAAUAUGCGAUGCGUUGUUUAAUGCGAAAACUAAGUUACAAAUGCGGAUUUUGUUUUGGGAAAUACAUCGAUAGGUGGUUAUGCGAAAAGUAUAAUUGUUUUAUACAAUGUGAUGGAAUUCAUGAAUAUAUAGGGGAUAUAUUUAUUGAUGUGACGAGUAGUUUAGAGAAUGUUAGUUUGCGUAGAGGAUGAAUUAUUAAAACAUGAGUAUCGGAGUUCAUAUAUUAGUGGUCGCGCCACAUUGGUUGAAGUGUCUCGAGUGCACGCCACAACAUGGUUGUAUGCGAGACAAGGUUGUGUGCCUGAUGCGUUUAGUAAAAAUCCAUCGGUGUCACUAGUGUUAAGUUGAGGUUGAUUUGCGCGUGGAAAGUGACAGUGUGUCUAAUACUUAGAACUCUUAGUCGUUAGUAGAAAUUGUUUGGGCUUAUGUAGAGAGGUGAUGACAUGUCGUAAGUAGUCAUCACUUCCUCUAUAAUUAUAAGUCGAGUCUUUACACGUUAGGCGUUCCUUAAAUUGUGCUUCACAAAUGAGUGUAUGCUUGUGUUUAUGACUUGAAUAGAUGUUUUCGAGUAAACUAAUAAGUUCCUAAAGCAAUUAUGUGUAUGGUUAUGAUUGCGAGUGAAAAGUAUUAGUGCUCAUGUGAGGUCUAAGCUAAAAUGCAAAUUAUUGGGUGAAAAGCGCUUCGAUGUUGAUUAUCGUGGAGAACGCGUGGUUAAUUGAGUAUGGUAAAUCUAGCGCACAAAAUGACUUGGAUAAAAUUUAUGAGUCAACUUGAUGGUCCUAAUUUGACUAAUUUAACUCUAAUCAAUGGUGAAGUGUUAGAAUAAUUCAAGUCUCUAGAACACGACUGAUUCUUGAAUUAUAUAGGAGCUGAAAUUUAUUGACUGCUGUUUUGGACUGCACGUACUGUUUUCGGUGUGCUGUAUGUUUGAUGAACUAAAUUGUGUUUUCUGUAGAUAUGUUCUAUAGAAAAGUUGUAGAUAACAUGAUUAUCUUGCUUGUACAAAAAUUUUACAGCCAUAAACCUGAUCGUUUAGGAGUUGUGCUUUUCACAAGCUCAGCAACUGAAUCUGUCAAAAUUCUGUACAGAAUUCAGAAACUGUGUUGUUUGUUCAACUUAGUGUUGCAAUCUGUUCAUGGUCAUUAUAAGAAAGUUGUAGAUGCUUUUCUGAUCUUGCUUGUGUUAAAAUUUCAUAACUAAAGGCCUGACGGUUUAAGAGUUAUGAAAUUUACAAACUGAUUGCUGUGUUCUGUCCUCCGUCAGAACAUAUUUUAAAAACUGCGUUGUUUGAUUCAGUUAAGCACAGAAUCACUUCUUGGUGAUUAUAAAAGUUAUGUAGUGCAAUUGCCAAGCUUUCCAAAAAGUCUUGGAUCACUAUUUUUGGUGGUCUGAAGAUUAAGUUAUGGAUGUUUGAAGUCUGAAGACUGAAUCUGUCCAAUUCUGGACAGCAAAGCCUUCUAGUGUAUUUUAUCCUUAGUUAACUAUUGAGUCACCUUAAGAUGUUUAUAAGUGAUAUGUAGACAAUUGUAUUACCUUUCCAGAAAGUCUAGGAUCACCUUGUUUGGAUGCCUGAAUCUUCAGUUAUGAAUUUUUAAAGUCAUAAGUCUGAAUCUGUCCAAAUCUGGACAGCACUGUUGUGUUAACACCUUUUGACCUUGCUAAGUGUUUAAUCAUGCUGUGAUGACAAUACCAAAGUUGUAAAGCACUUUUCAAGCUUUCUAGAAAGUCCUAGUUUACUAUUUUUGAGUAAAUAUCUUGUGAGUUAUGACUGAAACAAUUGACUGCUGUAUUGCUGUCCAAAAAUUCUGCUAGUGCGCUUUUGAUUGUUUAGUUUCCCCCUUGUCGCUAAAAAUGUGUGGUUUGCUCUUAAGUAAUGUAGACUUGCCAUGGUUAAGCUUAAUAAUGAAUGUGUGUACUGUUUUAUAUGUUUCCUUCUCUAGUUGUUUGUGAUAUAGGAGUUCCGUAGUUAGUGAUGCCUAUGUCGUAUUCAAGCUUACGUUGUCUUGAUUGGACUUGUGUGGUUGGUAAUGCUUUUGUGUGAUCAAUAGAAGAACUAAGGAAAAGCCGUAGCAAUUAAAUAAAUGCUUGUACGUGUGAUGUCGUGUUACGUUGGUUAAGUGUAGGUAGUGAUCGUCGUCUUUCCAGUGGUAGUGUUUACAUGUGCCCAACGACAUAUAAAUAACUAGUGUUUGCG